CGGCCGCGUCGACGCAAGUCGAGCGCAGGAAGCUGUCUGAUCCCUUCGGGGUGACGACAGUGGAAUGAGCGGCGGACGGGUGAGUAACACGUGGGCAACCUGCCUCACAGACUGGGAUAACUCCGGGAAACCGGAGCUAAUACCGGAUGAUCAACAGAGCCACAUGGUUUUGUUGUAAAAGGAUGGAUUUAUCCAUGUACUGUGAGAUGGGCCCGCGGCGCAUUAGCUAGUUGGUAGGGUAACGGCCUACCAAGGCCACGAUGCGUAGCCGACCUGGUCGACGCGGCCG
rnacentral:rRNA from 1 species